rnacentral:lncRNA from 1 species
AAACUAGUUUUAAACUGAAUUGAAACCAUUUUAACAAUUAACUGCAUUUUUUGUAAAAUGGUUAUUAUAAACUGAACUGAACUAUAAAUGUGGUUUGGUUCAGUUCAGUUGUUUUAAACUGAAUUGAAACCAUUUUAACAAUUAACUGCAUUUUUUGUAAAAUGGUUAUUAUAAACUGAACUGAACUAUAAAUGUGGUUUGGUUCAG